UACGUAGGGGGCAAGCGUUAUCCGGAUUUACUGGGUGUAAAGGGAGCGUAGACGGCGAUGCAAGCCAGAUGUGAAAGCCCGGGGCUCAACCCCGGGACUGCAUUUGGAACUGUAUAGCUAGAGUGUCGGAGAGGCAGGCGGAAUUCCUAGUGUAGCGGUGAAAUGCGUAGAUAUUAGGAGGAACACCAGUGGCAAAGGCGGCCUGCUGGACGAUGACUGACGUUGAGGCUCGAAAGCGUGGGGAGCAAACAGG
rnacentral:rRNA from 1 species